rnacentral:rRNA from 1 species
CCUACGCGGAGCUGCAGUGGGGAAUAUUGCACAAUGGGCGAAAGCCUGAUGCAGCAACGCCGCGUGAAGGAAGAAGGGUUUCGGCUCGUAAACUUCUAUCAACAGGGACGAAAGAAAUGACGGUACCUGAAUAAGAAGCACCAGCUAACUACGGGCCAGCGGCCACGGUAAUACGUAGGGGGGAAGCGUUAUACGGAAUUACGUGGGUUAAAGGGUGAGUUGGCAGCAAGGUAAGCCAGAUGGGAAAGCCUUGGGCCUAACCCGAGGAUUGCCUUUGAAACUAUCAAGCUAGAGUACAAGAGAAGAAAGCGGAAUUCCUAGUGUAGCGGUGAAAUGCGUAGAUAUUAGGAAGAACACCAGUGGCGAAGGCAGCUUUCUGGA